rnacentral:rRNA from 1 species
AUACGUAGGGUGCGAGCGUUGUCCGGAAUUACUGGGCGUAAAGAGCUCGUAGGUGGUUUGUCGCGUCGUCUGUGAAAUCCCGGGGCUUAACCUCGGGCGUGCAGGCGAUACGGGCAUAACUUGAGUGCUGUAGGGGAGACUGGAAUUCCUGGUAUAGCGGUGAAAUGCGCAGAUAUCAGGAGGAACACCAAUGGCGAAGGCAGGUCUCUGGGCAGUAACUGACGCUGAGGAGCGAAAGCAUGGGUAGC